rnacentral:rRNA from 1 species
AUUGCCUCAGUAACGGCGAGUGAACGCGGCAAGAGCUCAAAUUUGAAAGCUGGCUCCUUCGGGGUCCGCAUUGUAAUUUGCAGAGGAUGCUUCGGGAGCAGCCCCCAUCUAAGUGCCCUGGAACGGGCCGUCAUAGAGGGUGAAAAUCCCGUAUGGGAUGGGGUGUCUGCGCCCAUGUGAAGCUCCUUCGACGAGUCGAGUUGUUUGGGAAUGCAGCUCUAAAUGGGUGGUAAAUUUCAUCUAAAGCUAAAUAUUGGCCGGAGACCGAUAGCGCACAAGUAGAGUGAUCGAAAGAUGAAAAGCACUUUGAAAAGAGAGUUAAAAAGCACGUGAAAUUGUUGAAAGGGAAGCGCUUGCGAUCAGACUCGCCUUGGGGGUUCAGCCGGCAUUCGUGCCGGUGUACUUCCCCCAGGGCGGGCCAGCGUCGGUUUGGGUGGCCGGUCAAAGGCCCUUGGAAUGUAACGCCUCUCGGGGCGUCUUAUAGCCAAGGGUGCCAUGCGGCCUACCUGGACCGAGGAACGCGCUUCGGCUCGGACGCUGGCAUAAUGGUCGUAAGCGACCCGUCUUGAAACACGGACCAAGGAGUCUAACAUCUACGCGAGUGUUCGGGUGUCAACCCGUGCGCGCAGUGAAAGCGAACGGAGGUGGGAACCCUUUGGGUGCACCAUCGACCGAUCCUGAUGUCUUCGGAUGGAUUUGAGUAAGAGCGUAGCUGUUGGGACCCGAAAGAUGGUGAACUAUGCCUGAAUAGGGCGAAACCAGAGGAAACUCUGGUGGAGGCUCGCAGCGGUUCUGACGUGCAAAUCGAUCGUCGAAUUUGGGUAUAGGGGCGAAAGAAUAAUCGAACCAUCUAGUAGCUGGUUCUGCCGAGU